GAUGAACGCUGGCGGCGUGCCUAAUACAUGCAAGUCGAGCGAACGGACGAGAAGCUUGCUUCUCUGAUGUUAGCGGCGGACGGGUGAGUAACACGUGGAUAACCUACCUAUAAGACUGGGAUAACUUCGGGAAACCGGAGCUAAUACCGGAUAAUAUUUUGAACCGCAUGGUUCAAAAGUGAAAGACGGUCUUGCUGUCACUUAUAGAUGUAUCCUCGCUGCAUUAGCUAGUUGGUAAGGUAACGGCGUACCAAGGCAACGAUGCAUAGCCGACCUGAGAGGGUGAUCGGCCACACUGGAACUGAGACACGGUCCAGACUCCUACGGGAGGCAGCAGUAGGGAAUAUUCCGCAAUGGGCGAAAGCCUGACGGAGCAACGCCGCGUGAGUGAUGAAGGUCUUCGGAUCGUAAAACUCUGUUAGUAGGGAAGAACAUAUGUGUAAGUAACUGUGCACAUCUUGACGGUACCUACUCAGAAAGCAACGGCUAACUACGUG
rnacentral:rRNA from 1 species